rnacentral:rRNA from 1 species
CACGUAGGGCGCAAGCGUUGUCCGGAAUUAUUGGGCGUAAAGAGCUCGUAGGUGGUUUGUUACGUCUGCUGUGAAAACCUAGGGCUUAACCCUGGGCUUGCAGUGGAUACGGGCAGACUAGAGUAUUGCAGGGGAGACUGGAAUUCCUGGUGUAGCGGUGAAAUGCGCAGAUAUCAGGAGGAACACCGAUGGCGAAGGCAGGUCUCUGGGCAUUAACUGACGCUGAGGAGCGAAAGCAUGGGGAGCGAACAGG